ACUAACCAGGAUUCCCUCAGUAACUGCGAGUGAACAGGGAUAAGCCCAGCACCGAAGUCUGUGGUCAGUUGAUCGCUAGGCAAUGUGGUGUUUAGGUCGUUCCGCGAGUGCGCUGCUCCAUCCUAAGUCCAUCACUGAGUACGGUAUAAUGGACAUGGCCCGUAGAGGGUGAAAGGCCCGUGGGGGUGGAGUUCAGGCAGGCCAGUGCGCUUCUGGGUGGACCUUGGAGUCGGGUUGUUUGAGAAUGCAGCCCAAAGUGGGUGGUAAACUCCAUCCAAGGCUAAAUACUAGCACGAGUCCGAUAGCGAACAAGUACCGUGAGGGAAAGUUGAAAAGUACUUUGAAGAGAGAGUAAACAGUGCGUGAAACCGGUCAGAGGUAAGCAGGUGGAGUUGAACUGCAAGCUCUGGGAAUUCAGCUGGUGGGUAUGGUUCAAGCUUGGUUGAAUCGGUUGGGCCCUGGAGUCUGUGUAGCAGCAGGCCUUCAACGGUGCGCGUUGCACUUAUCAAGUGUUUGUGCGCUCCGGGUGUUCUCCGGACCGACUUGCCAGUGCACUUUCUCAGAGUGGUCACCACGACCGACAUUGCUGUCUGCCCGUUGCGGUCAAACCGGUCCGGUAUUGUCCUUGUGGCUCUGCUUGGCCGGGAUGGUUGGUGGCUCGGUGGCUUGCUUCGGCUGGUCAUGGGAGCACUACUAGCUGGCCGUAUCGGUUCUGUGCAGUGUGUCGGAGCUGGCGGCUUUUGUGUGUGCGUUCGUGCCGGGUCGGCUGUCGUGUCCGGAUUUGGUUAUUUGGUCGCUUGCCGGUGCAAGCCUGGUGAUGGUUCGGACACGUGCGGUCGGCGGUUGCGUUCGUGGCACGUGAGAGGGCCCAUAGUCUGUGGUGUAGUGGUAGACUAUCCACCUGACCCGUCUUGAAACACGGACCAAGGAGAGUAACAUGUGCGCGAGUCAUUGGGCGUUACGAAACCCAAAGGCGCAGUGAAAGUGAAGGUCCGGCUUGCCCGGACUGAGGUGAGAUCCUGUCGUUUCUCAUGCGCGGUACCACCAAGCUUGGAGCGGCAGGCGCAUCACCGGCCCGUCCCAUGACAAUUGUUUCAUCGCACUACCCAGUCGGGGCGGAGCAUGAGCGUACAUGUUGAGACCCGAAAGAUGGUGAACUAUGCUUGCGCAGGUUGAAGCCAGAGGAAACUCUGGUGGAGGACCGAAGCGGUUCUGACGUGCAAAUCGAUCGCCAGACGUGAGUAUAGGGGCGAAAGACUAAUCGA
rnacentral:rRNA from 1 species